rnacentral:rRNA from 1 species
GAUGAACGCUGGCGGCGUGCCUAAUACAUGCAAGUAGAACGCUGAAGGAAGGAGCUUGCUCUUUCCGGAUGAGUUGCGAACGGGUGAGUAACGCGUAGGUAACCUGCCUGGUAGCGGGGGAUAACUAUUGGAAACGUAAGCUAAUACCGCAUAACAGUAGAUAUUGCAUGAUACCUGCUUGAAAGGGGCAAUUGAUCAACUACCAGAUGGACAUGCGUUGUAUUAGCUAGAUGGCGAGGUAACGGCCCACCAAGGCGACGUUACAGAGCCGACCUGGGAGGGUGGUCGGCCCACCUGGGACUGAGACACGGCCCAGACUCCCACCGGGGGCAGCAGUAGGGAAUUUUCGGCAAUGGAGGGAAGUCUGACCGAGCCACGCCGCGGGAGGUAAGAAAGGUUUCGGAUCGUAAAGCUCUUUUAUGAGGGAAGAACGAGUGUGAGGGUGGAAAGUUGACACUGUGACGGUAUCUUAACAGAAAGCGACGGCUAACUACGUG